rnacentral:snRNA from 1 species
GCGCUUCAGCAGCACAGCUAUGACAAUUGGAAUGAUACAGGGAAGAUUAACGUGGCCCCAUGCAAAGAUGAAAUGCACGUUUUUAGACAUUCUGUAUUUCUGA